rnacentral:rRNA from 1 species
UGAGGAAUAUUGGUCAAUGGACGAGAGUCUGAACCAGCCAAGUAGCGUGCAGGAUGACGGCCCUAUGGGUUGUAAACUGCUUUUGUUUGGGAAUAAUCGACAUUACGUGUAAUGUUUUGCAUGUACCAUUCGAAUAAGGACCGGCUAAUUCCGUGCCAGCAGCCGCGGUAAUACGGAAGGUCCAGGCGUUAUCCGGAUUUAAUGGGUUUAAAGGGAGUGUAGGCGGUUGGUUAAGCGUGUUGUGAAAUGUAGAUGCUCAACAUCUGACUUGCAGCGCGAACUGGCUGACUUGAGUACACACAACGUAGGCGGAAUUCAUGGUGUAGCGGUGAAAUGCUUAGAUAUCAUGAAGAACUCCGAUUGCGAAGGCAGCUUACGGGAGUGUUACUGACGCUUAAGCUCGAAGGUGCGGGUAUCGAACAGG